GAUGAACGCUGGCGGCGUGCCUAAUACAUGCCAGUCGAGCGAACGGACGAGAAGCUUGCUUCUCUGAUGUUAGCGGCGGACGGGUGAGUAACACGUGGAUAACCUACCUAUAAGACUGGGAUAACUUCGGGAAACCGGAGCUAAUACCGGAUAAUAUUUUGAACCGCAUGGUUCAAAAGUGAAAGACGGUCUUGCUGUCACUUAUAGAUGGAUCCGCGCUGCAUUAGCUAGUUGGUAAGGUAACGGCUUACCAAGGCAACGAUGCAUAGCCGACCUGAGAGGGGGACGGGCCACACAGGAAAUGAGACACGGUCCAAACCCCGAGGGGGGGCAGCGGGAGGGAAUUUUCCGAAAUGGGCGAAAGCCUGAGGGAGAAACGCCGGGGGAGUGAUGAAGGUCUUCGGAUCGUAAAACUUUUUUAUUAGGGAAAAAAAUAUGGGUAAGUAACUGGCCCAAUUUGGACGGUACCAAAUCAGAAAGCCCCGGCUAACUACGG
rnacentral:rRNA from 1 species